ensembl:lncRNA
GAAAAGUCGUAAAGGAAGCAGUCAGUCCAGUGGUCGUGUUUGUGGAGAGGUAUUCCUUCAAAAAUGGAGAAGACAGAAAGCUGUGGAGGCACACAUUUGCAGCGGUAGAAGAGAAGGAAGACAAAGGAAAUUCUUUGAUCAGGAUGAGGAAUGAAGAUGGCCAUCUUGUGCCCAAAUGAAGACAGAAAGCUGUGCAAGUCCACUGGUCUGGGAACUCUCUGAAAAUGGGAUGUUAGGACUGAGAGACCCUCUGGCCGAGAAAAAGCUACACCACAUCGGUGCUGGAUGUCAACCACAAACUGUUUACAGACACGAGAGAAGAAGAUCAUGAUGGGGAAAUGGACGGGGAAGAGCAAGAAACCAGUUUAGAUGUGAUAAGGAAUCAUUAUUUUCUGAAACAGUAUCAAAUGUCUUAUAUGUAUCACAUGAUCUGCAUCACAGGUGACUGGAUGGGAUUGUUUGACUUUUAAGGACAUUUCAUUACUCAUCUGUGUGAACUGAUUAAUUUAGGAUAUUAAUGAAUUUUUUAUGAUCCAUUAUUAUUUUCCUUGAAUCUCAUUUGUCUUGAUGCUACUUUAUCAACUUUAUAGUCUAUGCUUCAAUAAAAUGAAUAUGGUGAAUUUUGUGUAUUUAAAA